rnacentral:rRNA from 1 species
ACGGGAGGCAGCAGUGGGGAAUAUUGGACAAUGGGGGAAACCCUGAUCCAGCGACGCCGCGUGAGUGAAGAAGUAUUUCGGUAUGUAAAGCUCUAUCAGCAAGGAAGAAAAUGACGGUACUUGACUAAGAAGCCCCGGCUAACUACGUGCCAGCAGCCGCGGUAAUACGUAGGGGGCAAGCGUUAUCCGGAUUUACUGGGUGUAAAGGGAGCGUAGACGGAAGGCCAAGUCUGAUGUGAAAACCCAGGGCUCAACCCUGGGACUGCAUUGGAAACUGGUCAUCUAGAGUGCAGGAGGGGUAAGCGGAAUUCCUAGUGUAGCGGUGAAAUGCGUAGAUAUUAGGAGGAACACCAGUGGCGAAGGCGGCUUACUGGACUGUAACUGACGUUGAGGCUCGAAAGCGUGGGGAGCAAACAGGAUUAGAUACCCUGGUA